UUUUAUUUGUGGUUAGGUAUUACAAUUCGUUGGUCACAACAAAGAAAGUCCCCAACACUCCAAAAGAAUGUACAAAAGUAUGACCACCACACGCAGAGCCAUCCUCCAUAGAGAACCAACACCUCUCCACUUAAUAAAAAUAAUACCUCCUCUUAACAGAGAUGCUGUGGGGCAAACUGAAGAGUUCAGCAGAGGUAAAUGGACGGUAAUGGAGCAAGGUACCCAAUGUAGACCUCUGUGCAAUCUUCAGGUAGAGUUUAUGCGAGAAGCAACCCAAUUUUUCUGUUACCCUCCCACUUGUCUCAAUCUUCAAAACUCCAUUUCUGCUCUAAAUCUUCUGAGCAUUUCGAUGAGCAGAUGUGCUUGGUGCAUUUCGUGAACUAAUACUUGCUGUUCUUAGCAGUCUACGGAAUUCCGAAAGGCUUAUUUUACCAUCUUUAUCAAU
rnacentral:misc_RNA from 1 species